rnacentral:misc_RNA from 1 species
GAUGAAGAACGCAGCGAAAUGCGAUACGUAAUGUGAAUUGCAGAAUUCAGUGAAUCAUCGAAUCUUUGAACGCAUAUUGCGCUCUUUGGUAUUCCGAAGAGCAUGCUUGUUUGAGUAUCAGUAAACACCUCAAAGCUUUUGGAUUUUUUAAUCGAAAAGCUUUGGACUUGAGCAAUCCCAACACCAAUCUUUUUGAGAUCGGUGGCGGGUUGCUUGAAAUGCAGGUGCAGCUGGACAUUCUCCUGAGCUAAAAGCAUAUUCAUUUAGUCCCGUCAAACGGAUUAUUACUUUUGCUGCAGCUAACAUAAAGGGAGUUUGACCGUAUUGGCUGACUGAUGCAGGAUUUCACAAGGGUCGGCAACGAUUCUUGUUAAACUCGAUCUCAAAUCAAGUAAGACUACCCGCUGAACUUAAGCAUAUCAAUAGCGGAGGA